CCUACGGGGGGCUGCAGUGGGGAAUAUUGGACAAUGGGGGCAACCCUGAUCCAGCCAUGCCGCGUGUGUGAAGAAGGCCCUCGGGUUGUAAAGCACUUUCAGUGAGGAAGAACGCCUGGUGGUUAAUACCCAUCAGGAAAGACAUCACUCACAGAAGAAGCACCGGCUAACUCCGUGCCAGCAGCCGCGGUAAUACGGAGGGUGCUAGCGUUAAUCGGAAUUACUGGGCGUAAAGCGCGCGUAGGUGGCUUGAUAAGCCGGUUGUGAAAGCCCCGGGCUCAACCUGGGAACGGCAUCCGGAACUGUCAAGCUAGAGUGCAGGAGAGGAAGGUAGAAUUCCCGGUGUAGCGGUGAAAUGCGUAGAGAUCGGGAGGAAUACCAGUGGCGAAGGCGGCCUUCUGGACUGACACUGACACUGAGGUGCGAAAGCGUGGGUAGCAAACAGGAUUAGAUACCCCAGUAGUC
rnacentral:rRNA from 1 species